rnacentral:misc_RNA from 1 species
CAAGAAUCGAGCCCCAGUACAACAGUGCAGCUAGAAAGAACAAACCAUUUAUCUAUCCAUGGCAAAAUGUAAUACUAUAGCGCAUGCGCUAUGGCUUCUGCAUUCUGCCUUAUGGCUCCUGUAAUUUUAUGUACUUCCACCUUUACAGUACACUGUUUUAAAAUAAAAAGAUUUAGUACAUUUAUUUUUGUGAAAUAAUCAUAUUGUCCCAGUAAUUUACGGGAGGGACGAGUGUUAUAUAAAAAAAAAAAAGAAUGGAUUCUACCAGGGCUAAAAAGAAAUCGAAAAAAUUUUGUUUUUGAAAGGAAUUAGUCAAAUAUACUUUUAUUAAAAUCUGAGAUAGAUAAACUGAACUAGAUAUAUUAUAGAAUCAUGUACAUAAAAAUAUUUAUAUAAUGAAUAACACAAAUGAAAAUACAGAAGAUUUGGAUGUAUCCACUUCAAAACAAACUAAAAAUACAUCUUUCCAAACUGCCUUUAGUAACUUGAAGAAAUCUGAAUUUUUCAAGGAUCUUUUAUUUUCUCAGCCUGAAACUUCUGUGGCAGCAGCUUUGAGCAAAAUCAACACUAUUCUUGUCAAUGUAAAGCAGAGAGGCAAUCCGUUAUUAAAGUUUAUAACAAACGUGUCAUGGGAAUAUUCCGACAUUGUGCCAGAUUAUGUAAUGGGAAAAACUACUUGUGCUCUUUUUUUAUCAAUUCGUUAUCAUCAAUUGAAUCCUGAUUAUAUUCAUGAAAGACUGAAAUUGCUGAACAAUACCUAUAAUUUGCGAGUGCUUUUAGUACAGAUUGAUGUCGCUGAUCCUCAUCAUGCUUUGAAACAUCUAACGAGAAUUUCCAUUCUGGCAGACAUGACGUUAAUGUUAGCAUGGAAUGCGGAAGAUGCAGGAAAAAUUAUUGAAACUUAUAAAAUAUAUGAAAACAAACCGCCUGAUGAUAUCAUGGAACGCAGUGAUACAGCACCUCAUCAAAAAAUUGGGCACCAAACACGAGCCGAGGCGCCGGCGCCGUUUGAAGCAUCACGGGCAAGACAGCAUUCGAGAUGAAAAAGAUGCUGCGGAAAGCGCUCGCAACGCCAGACGCCAGUGGCCGCGACAAAUUGUUUGCAUAUGUCGCAAGCGAAUGUCAUCGCGCGCCGUGACGGUAAAUUGUGAAAGAAAAAACCGGAGAGUGACACUUCCGUAGGUUUACUUGUCAGUGUCAGUGUUCGAUUGGCAGUACCAAUGCGCACUUGGCUAGUGUCACGUGUUCGUUUGACCGCACCAUCGACUUAGCAUGGACUGCGCCAUCCCUCUUAUAUUCCCAUGCAAAAGUGGGUCCAGAAAAAAGAGUGAGAUAGCAAUAGUGAGAAGCAAAUACAGAAACAGUUCAAAAUACAUUCGCAGCAGCUUCGAUGAAUGUAAACUUUUGUAGUGAAGCAAAUACAGAAACAGUUCAACAAACUGAUCUAAAUGAGAUAAAAAGGUAUUUAAUUUAAAGCAUAAGGUAUUAAAGACUUUUCAAGAUAUUUAACUUUUAUUCCCAGUAAGCACAAAAACAUUGCUGCAAUAAUAUUAUAACGUUACCUACUAACAUAGUAACGUUUCCAAGUAUGUAGUUUUUAACGUUGUAUACAACGUCAUUAUGAAUAAACUUUGAUUUGGAAGUUUC